CGAAAGCUUCUUCGUAGGUUGAAAGCUCUGCCAGCAUCGACCGAUAGAAUUCAAUUUUGCUCUAGAGUGGAGAAAGAAUACCUCAAACCUUCUUACUCUGCCAGCAUCGGCGAGGAGCUUGAAGAUGGGUUAUUUGAUGCAUGUUGAGUUAUCUGGGGACCUUGAGGACCAGAAUCAACUCUUUCAACACAGUCAUCCGUUGGAGCUUGACUUAUUGAGGAAACCAUUUGUUGUAAACCUCCUUGCUGAGCCAUUUCUUUUGCAACAGGUUUUGGAAUAUAUCUCUCUAUUUCAGCCCUCUUAUUUUUUAAAUUAUGCACCUGCUGCUGAUCACUCUUUGCAGGAACAAUUGCCUCGAUUUUAACUGGCUAUUCAUUCUACCAUAGGAUUCUUCAUUCUCUACAAAUCUUUGGUCUGAAUACUGAUUUGAGUCUUUAGGCAAGGAUGAUGUCUGAAUUGAACCCUGGUCUAACUCAAUGUCUACCCUGGAUUUAUUUUCAAUAGAGGUUCUCGGAAGACCAGCUUCCUUUGGUAUUACCGAUGGUAAUGAAGCCAAGGACAAAGUCUCUUCAACCUUCUGUUUGUUUCUGCUAUUCCUGUUAUUUUUCUUUUUCUGCCAUAGAAGUUGAAUUAACUGGUAAGGCUGAACUAACUUCAUUUGUAGCCACUGUGUGAUUCUCAACUUGAGGGGCAGUUGAGGUUGUAGAAACAUUCAAAGUCUUCUCUAGAGAAAGAUUAUGUUUAGGUUUAUGGCCCAUUUUUUUCUGCCUUGACACGGCAUUGUUGUGAACCUGUAAAGCACUAGUGGCAUCACCAUAAUUAACAUCUUGGAACAAGGUCGCUGAUUUAUUGUGACUCAACACAGGCUCUUUGUCAGCAUUCUUUAGUGUCUCUAAAGAUGAUUCACUGGACAAGAUGGGUGGUUUUUCAACUCUGUUAAUGUUGGUAUCACUAAUCAGAUAAGCAUCAUUGUAAUUAGUGCCCCUAGCUGGCUCAAACAAUGAAUCAUGGUGCCAAGGUCUAGACGGUCUUGCUUCUCGUUCGGCUGCAUACUAAUAGAGCAAUUAGAGCAGCUCACUGUCUGACUUCAAUUCAUGGUCAGAUUAGUACUUCAUCAUAUGUUUUCUGAUAAUCAUAAUUCUAUCCCUCCCCUGCUCUGCAUGUGUUUGUACCUUUUAUAAUGAUAUUCAUAUUUCAUGAAUGAUUUCUUCUCUCUCUCUCUCAGCCCUAGAUACAUAUAUGUAUUCUUUUAUUUGUUAUAUGCUUUGGACUCCAAGUCAAAAUGAGGAAUAAAAAUGCAGUAAACCCUUUAUUAUUAUUGGUAGUUAAGUUUAUUCCCAUGACUUUAAAUAUUAGUAGGUAAUUCUGCCACUUUCUUGAGUUUAAAUAUAAUUUUUAAAGCAAUUUUCUUCAUGGAUUGAAUUUGUACAACUGCUGUUUGAUUUGUAGUUCUCACCUACAUCUGAGCACAUACUCCUUUCCUAUGGUCGACGUCAUGGAUCUCUUCUUAAAAGCAUUGUCAUUGAUAGAGAAACAACAUUACCUAUAUACACAGUGUUAGAGGCGAGGAGCGAUUUCUAUCACUAUGUAUAAUUUUGGUUCUCCCAGGGUUGGUAACAAAAGAUUUGCAGAGGUUUAUAAUGAGAAAGUUAAAGAUAGCUGGCGAGUUGUGAAUCAUAGAGAUAUCAUUCCUACUAUACCCCGAUUAAUGGGUUAUUGUCAUGUCAAUCAACCUUUAUUUCUUGCCGCAGGCGUUCCAACAAAUUCCCUAGUUUAAACAUCAAUAAAGAUCAAUAACACUUCCACCCAUGACUCUUGUGAGACUUUUCAGAUUUGAGAAAGAUUUGAUUAAAUCGUCUUCGACUACUGUCUUUAGUUCGGUUGAUCCAUCAUUCAACUAAUAGAAAAAUAUUUACUUACACGUCACCAUAUGAAAAAGAGACAAUCGACCAUAUUCGGCAACUUUGGGCUCAAAUGUUUUUGCAAAUGUUUGAAAAUCAAAAGGUUGAGGAACAAAAUCUACAAGAUCAAAUGCAAAUGGUUGAAGAGGAUAAAGACAUAUAAAUGUUGGCAAAACAAAAAUCAAAGA